rnacentral:rRNA from 1 species
GAGAAUGCCGGUGUGAGUAGCGAAAGACGGGUGAGAAUCCCGUCCACCGAUUGACUAAGGUUUCCAGAGGAAGGCUCGUCCGCUCUGGGUUAGUCGGGUCCUAAGCUGAGGCCGACAGGCGUAGGCGAUGGAUAACAGGUUGAUAUUCCUGUACCACCUAUAAUCGUUUUAAUCGAUGGGGGGACGCAGUAGGAUAGGCGAAGCGUGCGAUUGGAUUGCACGUCUAAGCAGUAAGGCUGAGUAUUAGGCAAAUCCGGUACUCGUUAAGGCUGAGCUGUGAUGGGGAGAAGACAUUGUGUCUUCGAGUCGUUGAUUUCACACUGCCGAGAAAAGCCUCUAGAUAGAAAAUAGGUGCCCGUACCGCAAACCGACACAGGUAGUCAAGAUGAGAAUUCUAAGGUGAGCGAGCGAACUCUCGUUAAGGAACUCGGCAAAAUGACCCCGUAACUUCGGGAGAAGGGGUGCUCUUUAGGGUUAACGCCCAGAAGAGCCGCAGUGAAUAGGCCCAAGCGACUGUUUAUCAAAAACACAGGUCUCUGCUAAACCGUA